UAUGGCUAUAUCAAGUUGAAACACCAGUUCUAGUAUAAUCAGCGAAGUUAAGCAACAUUGAGAUUGGUCAGUACCAAGCUGGGUGACCACUUGGGAAUACCAGGUAUUGUAAG